CGCCCCUGGUGACGCCCCGCUGGGCGCCUAGGACUUGCUUAGCGCGAAGAGGCCGGGUCUUGCUGCGGGAGCCUUGGUGGUGGCGCCGGGGUACGAGCAGCCCCGUGGAAUCUGCAAAGUGCUAGUGAUAUUUGGAUGAAGGGAGGAACCAGGAAUGUGUCCAGAAGUGUCUGAGAGCGCCUGCAAGAAAAAACAGCACCAGAGGAGCAAGAGUAACUAGGUAAGAGAAUAGAUGAAGGAGUGGAGCACCCUGGCCAAUUGCACCGUUAAGGAGAGUCCAGCAGGCCUUUCAGCGUGGGCUUAGGAGCUCAAGGGAGCUACUCCAGCUGGAAAGGUGAAGACUGGCAGGAACCAGUGACCAUUUCUUCAUGCGAGACUAACCAGCAGACCUUUAAACUUGUGGAGGAUUUGGACACAGACUCUCCUCUCUGAUUCCUCUUAUCCUGCCUACUUCGGAAGGAACACCCAAUCCUGGGCCAGCAAUUACCUGUUUGCCAGUGGGCGAAACCCACUCAAACCAGUGGGUUUCUCCAGAGGAAUUUAUUAUGUGAACCCAGGGAUCUUACAGAGCCCAAGGCAAUAAUUGCAGCCAUGUAAUAGGAUGUAGAAAUGGGGCCUUUCCCUGCCAGAGCAUAGACAUCAUGUCCCAAAGUGAAUGUGAAGUCAUCUCCCAAGUAGAAGUUACAAAAGCAAAAUGUAGAACCUGUUUUUCUACCUUUGGACGUCUGGGGCAGAUCUGUGAUAUUAAAAUGUGGGCAGAAUGUAGAAAGAGGAGGGGUUUGAUGAAGACAUAUCUUAGGAGAGAACUUUGUCUGCCCUGUUUUCCCACCAUCUCACCCCUGCCCCUAGAAUGACACGGCAGAGAGGGAGAGAGGCAUAGAACACAUCAUUUCAAGCCCAGGAAGGCAGUUCUUCAAUGACAGGGGAGCCUCUCCACACUGAGGCCCGAGGCUGACUUCUCCCUAAUCAAUCCUGAAGAUAAGAGAUGGCUCACCAACUACUUUGACAACUUUUAUCAAGAGCUUUAUAUGUUAGGCAGCCCGGGUGCGUCAGCGGUUUAGCGCCACCUACGGCCCAGGGCGUGAUCCUGGAGACCCCGGAUCAAAUCCCGAAUCCCGGGAUGGAGCCUGCUUUCCCCUCUGCCUCUCUCUCUCUCUCUCUCUCUCUCUCUAUCUAUCUCUCCUGGAUAAAUAAAUAAAAUCUUUAAAAAAAGAAAAAGAACUUCAUAUGCUAGAUACGAUUCUAUGUAUUAACGCAUUUAAUCCUCCCCAUAAGCCUGCAUAGUAAAUGCUAUAUAUUUCAAUAUAUAUAUUGACUCUUUCUUUCACCUACAUGUUGUAAAUAUUUUCCCACAAUAAAUAUU